rnacentral:rRNA from 1 species
UACGUAGGGGGCAAGCGUUGUCCGGAAUCAUUGGGCGUAAAGCGCGUGUAGGCGGCUCGAUAAGUCUGCUGUGAAAGUCCAGGGCUCAACCCUGGGAUGCCGGUGGAUACUGUCGAGCUCGAGUCCGGAAGAGGCGAGUGGAAUUCCUGGUGUAGCGGUGAAAUGCGCAGAUAUCAGGAGGAACACCCGUGGCGAAGGCGGCUCUCUGGGACGGUACUGACGCUGAGACGCGAAAGCGUGGGGAGCGAACAGG